UACGUAGGGGGCAAGCGUUGUCCGGAAUUAUUGGGCGUAAAGCGCGCGCAGGCGGUCGAAGAAGUUUGAGGUAGAAGCCCGGGGCUCAACCCCGGCUCGCCUCGGAAACUGGUCGACUUGAGUGCAGAAGAGGAGAGUGGAAUUCCACGUGUAGCGGUGAAAUGCGUAGAGAUGUGGAGGAACACCAGUGGCGAAGGCGACUCUCUGGACUGUAACUGACGCUGAGGAGCGAAAGCAUGGGGAGCGAACAGG
rnacentral:rRNA from 1 species